ensembl:snRNA U6 U6 spliceosomal RNA
GUGCUCACUUAGGCAGCACAUAUACUAAAAUUGGAAUGAUACAGAGAAGAUUAGCAUGGCCCCUGUGCAAGGAUGACAUGCAAAUUCGUGAAGCAUUUCAUAUUAAA